AUACGUAGGGUGCGAGCGUUGUCCGGAAUUACUGGGCGUAAAGAGCUCGUAGGUGGUUUGUCGCGUCGUCUGUGAAAUUCCGGGGCUUAACUCCGGGCGUGCAGGCGAUACGGGCAUAACUUGAGCACUGUAGGGGAGACUGGAAUUCCUGGUGUAGCGGUGAAAUGCGCAGAUAUCAGGAGGAACACCGGUGGCGAAGGGGGGUCUCUGGGCAGUAACGGACGCUGAGGAGGGAAAGCAUGGGUAGCGAACAGGAUUAGAUACCCUGGUAGUCCAUGCCGUAAACGGUGGGCGCUAGGUGUAGGGGUCUUCCACGACUUCUGUGCCGUAGCUAACGCAUUAAGCGCCCCGCCUGGGGAGUACGGCCGCAAGGCUAAAACUCAAAGGAAUUGACGGGG
rnacentral:rRNA from 1 species